CCACUUGGAAGGGUUGGGCGAGCUGAGGGUGACGUCAUUGAAGUACUCUCAAAGCAUGAAUCGAGGUGGUCCGGGCGCGUGCAGGACGGCCAGCAGAGCUACUUCUCCGAGCAGCUGAGUCAUGACAAACAUAUACAUCUUUUGUUCCUAGAGGCAUGAGCUCACUAAGAAUGGCCGAGGGGCUUAUGACUGCACAGUUCAAACCAAGCGGGGACUGUCGUGCUCCUGGGGGAGGGCACGGGCAGAGGCAGGCUACAAGUCCCCUGGGGGGAAAAUAGGGAGGAGGGCGCUUUCCUGGCGCUCAGAUGCAAGGCCCAGGCACACAGCUCUCCCAACUUGCUCCAGAGAAUCUUGUCCAGGCUCUGUAGGAAAAGCCACUGCCAGGGGGCCACCAAUGGGUCUUCUGAGGCUGAUUGAAUGACUCCUCCUUUAUAGAAGGCUUAGGAGAAAUAGUACUGUAGCUGUUUUGUGUAUGUGCAUUCUUAAUAGCUACAUUGACUCAUUAACAACCCUGUGAUACUAUACUGGUGGAAGCUGGGGGCAAUCAUUGUCCUUUGUAACUCACACUACAUGUGAUCUUUUGGUAUAAGGAACAUGUAAACAUGCCAAAAGUAACAGCAUUAUCAACAUAUUUGUAUUUAGAAAGAAUUCAUUGUAAUAUUGAAUUGAAUACAAUUCAAUCAUAAUAGUCAUAAUUCAAGCAGUCGUAAUACAAGCUGUAUCUUAGUAUCAGCUUUUACACUGUGUAUCUUAAUAAAUGCACCUCAAAAUAGUAUUCAUUGCUCAAUAUUUGCCUUAUAUUUUAUAUAUAGGCAGAUAUUUUUUAUUGCAUAAAUAUAAUUGCCCUUGAUAAUGAUAAAUAAUGUUGUACAGCUACCAGUGGCUGUAAAAAAAACAAAUAAUAAUAAAAACAUAAUAAUAAUAAAUAUAUAUAUAUAUAUAUAUAUAUAUAUAUAUAUAUAUAUAUAUAUAU